rnacentral:tRNA from 1 species
ACCUGGCUGGCUCAGUCAGAAGAGCAUGAGACUCUGGAUGUCAGGGUUGUGAGUUUGAGUCCCAUGUUGGGUG